rnacentral:rRNA from 1 species
CCCUUAGAUGUCCUGGGCCGCACGCGCGUUACACUGAUGCAUUCAACGAGCUUAUAACCUUGGCCGAGAGGCCUGGGCAAUCUUGUUAACGUGCAUCGUGAUAGGGAUAGAUUAUUGCAAUUAUUAAUCUUGAACGAGGAAUUCCUAGUAAACGCGAGUCAUCAGCUCGCAUUGAUUACGUCCCUGCCCUUUGUACACACCGCCCGUCGCACCUACCGAUUGAAUGGUUCGGUGAAGAUCUCGGACUUCGAUAUUUGUUCUUCAUUGAACUUAUAUAGUGGGAAGUUAUCUGAACCUCAUCAUUUAGAGGAAGGUGAAGUCGUAACA